rnacentral:rRNA from 1 species
GGAGAGAGCAACAGGGAUUGCCUUAGUAACGGCGAGUGAAGCGGCAACAGCUCAAAUUUGAAAGCUGGCUCCUUCGGAGUCCGCAUUGUAAUUUGUAGAGGAUGAUUCGGCGAGGGCUCCCGCCUAAGUCCACUGGAACGUGGCGUCAUAGAGGGUGAGAAUCCCGUAUGCGGUGGGUUGCCUUAGCCAUGUGAAUCUCCUUCGACGAGUCGAGUUGUUUGGGAAUGCAGCUCUAAAUGGGAGGUAAAUUUCUUCUAAAGCUAAAUACCGGCCAGAGACCGAUAGCGCACAAGUAGAGUGAUCGAAAGAUGAAAAGCACUUUGGAAAGAGAGUUAAAAAGUACGUGAAAUUGUUGAAAGGGAAGGGCUUGCAACCAGACUUGUCCGCAGUUGCUCAGCCGGUCUCCUGACCGGCGUACUCUUCUGCGGCCAGGCCAGCAUCAGUUCGGGCGGUCGGAUAAAGACCUAGGGAAUGUAGCUCCUCUCGGGGAGUGUUAUAGCCCUGGGUGGAAUGCGACCAGCCUGGACUGAGGAUCUCGCUUCGGCAAGGAUGCUGGCGUAAUGGUUGUAAGCCGCCCGUCUUGAAACACGGACCAAGGAGUCUAACAUCUAUGCGAGUGUUUGGGUGUCAAACCCAUACGCGUAAUGAAAGUGAACGGAGGUGGGAACCCGCAAGGGCGCACCAUCGGCCGAUCCUGAUGUCUUCGGAUGGAUUUGAGCAAGAGCAUAGCUGUUGGGACCCGAAAGAUGGUGAACUAUGCCUGAAUAGGGUGAAGCCAGAGGAAACUCUGGUGGAGGCUCGCAGCGGUUCUGACGUGCAAAUCGAUCGUCAAAUUUGGGUAUAGGGGCGAAAGACUAAUCGAACCAUUAACACUGUAGUUGUUCGAACUACUAGGUGGUUAAGAGGCGGCUAAAAGAGCCCGCCUAGUCCCCCAUCGGGGCGACCUGUCAAUUG